rnacentral:rRNA from 1 species
AUGAAUGGCCGCGGUACCCUGACCGUGCUAAGGUAGCGUAAUCAGUUGGCUUUUAAAUGGAGUCAGGAAUGAAUGGAAUAACCGGGUUUAGCUGUCUCCUUCCUAAUUAGUUGAAUUUACUAUUCAAGUGAAAAAGCUUGAAGAAAGAAAAGGGACGAGAAGACCCUUAGAAUUUUCUUUAGUGGGAAAAUUUUUUCCUAAUGAUUUUGUUGGGGCGACAUGGAAAUAUAUGAAAACUUUCCUUUAAUACUUGCCGAUUUUGUUAAGUCAGGAUAAAUUACCUGAGGGAUAACAGCAUAAUUCUAUAGAUGAGUUUGUG